rnacentral:rRNA from 1 species
GACGAACGCUGGCGGCGUGCUUAACACAUGCAAGUCGAACGGAAAGGCCUCUUUCGGGGGGUACUCGAGUGGCGAACGGGUGAGUAACACGUGAGUAACCUGCCCUUGACUUUGGGAUAACUUCAGGAAACUGGGGCUAAUACCGGAUAGGAGCUCCUGCUGCAUGGUGGGGGUUGGAAAGUUUCGGCGGUUGGGGAUGGACUCGCGGCUUAUCAGCUUGUUGGUGGGGUAGUGGCUUACCAAGGCUUUGACGGGUAGCCGGCCUGAGAGGGUGACCGGCCACAUUGGGACUGAGAUACGGCCCAGACUCCUACGGGAGGCAGCAGUGGGGAAGAUUGCACAAUGGGUGGAAGCCUGAUGCAGCAACGCCGUGUGCGGGACGACGGCCUUCGGGUUGUAAACCGCUUUCGCUCAUGACGAAGCUUUGUGUGACGGUAGUGGGUAAAGAAGCACCGGCUAACUACGUG